rnacentral:rRNA from 1 species
CCUACGGGUGGCAGCAGUGAGGAAUAUUGGUCAAUGGGCGCGAGCCUGAACCAGCCAAGUCGCGUGAGGGAGGACGGCCCUACGGGUUGUAAACCUCUUUUGCCGGGGAGCAACGGGCGCCACGUGUGGCGUCACUGAGAGUACCCGGAGGAAAAGCAUCCGCUAACUCCGUGCCAGCAGCCGCGGUAAUACGGAGGAUGCGAGCGUUAUCGGGAUUGAGUGGGUUUAAAGGGUGCGUAGGCGGAUCGGUAAGUCAGUGGUAAAAUUGAGGGGCUCAACCCCUUCCCGCCAUUGAAACUGGCGUUCUGGAGUGGAUGAGAGGUAUGCGGAAUUCGUGGUGUAGCGGUGAAAUGCAUAGAUAUCACGCAGAACCCCGAUGGCGAAGGCAGCAUGCCGGCUUCCGACUGACGCUGAGGCACGAAAGCGUGGGGAUCGAACAGGAUUAGAUACCCUUGUAGUC